rnacentral:rRNA from 1 species
UACUCCCAACCAUUGUGAACUUACCACUGUUGCUUCGGCGGCCUCGCCCCGGGCGCGUUCGCGCGGCCCGGACCCAGGCGUCCGCCGGAGGCUUCAAACUCUUGUCUUUUAGUGUAUUUCUGAGUGGCAUAAGCAAAUAAAUCAAAACUUUCAGCAACGGAUCUCUUGGUUCUGGCAUCGAUGAAGAACGCAGCAAAAUGCGAUAAGUAAUGUGAAUUGCAGAAUUCAGUGAAUCAUCGAAUCUUUGAACGCACAUUGCGCCCGCCAGUAUUCUGGCGGGCAUGCCUGUCUGAGCGUCAUUUCAACCCUCAGGACCCGUUCGCGGGACCUGGCGUUGGGGAUCAGCCUGCCCCUGGCGGCGGCUGGCCCUGAAAUACAGUGGCGGUUCCCUCGCGAACUCCUCCGUGCAGUAAUUAAACCUCUCGCGGCAGGAUAGCGGUUGAACCACGCCGUUAAACCCCCCACUUCUCAAGGUUGACCUCAGAUCAGGUAGGAAUACCCGCUGAACUUAAGCAUAUCAAAA